GACGAACGCUGGCGGCGUGCUUAACACAUGCAAGUCGAACGCUGAAGCUCAGCUUUUGUUGGGUGGAUGAGUGGCGAACGGGUGAGUAACACGUGAGUAACCUGCCUCCUUCUUUGGGAUAACGCCCGGAAACGGGUGCUAAUACUGGAUAUUCACUGGUCUUCGCAUGGGGGUUGGUGGAAAGGGUUUUUCUGGUGGGGGAUGGGCUCGCGGCCUAUCAGCUUGUUGGUGGGGUGAUGGCCUACCAAGGCUUUGACGGGUAGCCGGCCUGAGAGGGUGACCGGUCACAUUGGGACUGAGAUACGGCCCAGACUCGUACGGGAGGCAGCAGUGGGGAAUAUUGCACAAUGGGCGCAAGCAUGAUGCAGCGACGCCGCGUGAGGGAUGGAGGCCUUCGGGUUGUGAACCUCUUUCGCUCAUGGUCAAGCCGCAACAAUGGUUGUGGUGAGGGUAGUGGGUAAAGAAGCGCCGGCUAACUACGUG
rnacentral:rRNA from 1 species